UGUAAGAAUAAAUGGUCGAACAGACCAAACUUUUAAACUUCUACACCUAAAAUUUAUCUUAAUCCAACAUCGAGGUCGCAAUCUUUUUUUUCGAUUUGAUCUCUUUAAAAACAUUACGCUGUUAUCCCUUAAGUAACUUAAUCUUUUAAUCAUAAAUUAUGGAUCAAUUCACUUAUUAAUGAAAAAAAGUUAAUCUAAUUUUCCUAUCACCCCAAUAAAAUAAAUUAUAAAGCUUUAAAGGGUCUUCUCGUCCUUCAAUAUUAUUUUAGCUUUUUAACUAAAAAAUUAAAUUCUACAUCAAUUUAUUAGAGACAAUAAAUAUUUCAUUCAAUCAUUCAUUCAAGCUUCUAAUUAAGAAACUAUUUAUUAUGCUACCUUUGCACAGUCAAUAUACUGCGGCCUUUUUCAAUGGGCAGAUUAGACUUUAUAUU
rnacentral:rRNA from 1 species